AUUUCUUCUCUCUUCACAAUCCCCAAACCCCCCUUAAUUUUUCUUCAUGGCUUCUUCAUCUCCCGAUCUUUCUAUCAUUCAAAAUCAAUUUCCUUCGUCUUAAAUGAAAUUAGCAUUCACAACUUCUUGUUUCUCUGGAUCUGUUUCCGUUUCAAAUAUUUGUACUGCAUUUUCAACCGACAUUUGUAAACUCUUUAUAGAUUGAAGAUGAUUAGAAAGGACUACAAAUUAAAGAAGACUACAUCGGCAUCUUUCCAAUAUUUCCAUCGGUUAGGUUUCAGUUGAGUCCCUUGAUAACGUUUUUACAUAUAAUAUUCUAUAUUUCGGUUUCGUGAUUGUACAAGGGAAAAGAUAGAAAUUUUAUGUUGAUUAAAGAUUAGUGGUUGCCCACCAUCUGAAGGACUGUGGAAGAUAACGAGAUUAAUUGAAUCAUCAUCUAGUUGUCAGUUUAUUACUCACAUGCUUCACUUCAAUUUCAAGAAAAGGGAAUAUUUGGACUUCCAUAGUUUUCUAGAGUUGAUUAUGUUUUAAGUUCUCCAAUUCGUUUUGCAUUUAGUUUUAGUUAUUGAAAUCUUUACCCUUGAAAGGAAGGCCUUUGCCAGUUUAACUUCCUUUUUCCUUUUUUUUAGCAGUGUUGAAUCUUUAGGAACAACAGGAAAAAAACAGAGUCUACAAAACAUGCAUUUGUAUAUAAGCACAUGAACCAACAGUAUGUAAUAAACAAG
rnacentral:lncRNA from 1 species